AUACAGCUGAAGAAUCGCAAAUAGAAUGAAAUGUAUAUCCUGGAU
rnacentral:hammerhead_ribozyme from 1 species